rnacentral:lncRNA from 1 species
UGGGGUUCUCCUAUGGUGUGUAGGGGUGCUGUAUGAUCUUUUUCAUGUAAAUAAAAAAUAAAAAAUUUAAAACUUUAUUUUAGAUCUGAUUUACUGUAUCUUAGAUCUAAAAUUAGAGUUUAGAUGAUUGUAUAAUAGUUUGUAAAAAUAUUUUAUGAAAAUUUUAAACUAUUUUCAAACACCAAAUUCUAACCCAUGUUGGCCCAAAACUUAAUUAUGAAUUAAGUAAUCUAGAUUUGAGAAUUAAAGAUCUAAGGUAUAACUUUCAUAAAUCAUGAGUUUAUGGGUUAGCUCGAGUCAUAUCCAUUUAACUGGA